rnacentral:rRNA from 1 species
UACGUAGGGUGCGAGCGUUGUCCGGAAUUAUUGGGCGUAAAGAGCUCGUAGGCGGUCUGUCGCGUCGAUCGUGAAAACUUGGGGCUUAACCCUGAGCUUGCGGUCGAUACGGGCAUGACUGGAGUUCGGCAGGGGAGACUGGAAUUCCCGUGUAGCGGUGAAAUGCGCAGAUAUCAGGAGGAACACCGGCGGCGAAGGCGGUGCUCUGGGCCAGUAUUGACGCUGAGGAGCGAAAGCGUGGGUAGCAAACAGG